GGGUUGUGAGGUUAAGCGACUAAGCGUACACGGUGGAUGCCCUGGCAGUCAGAGGCGAUGAAGGACGUGCUAAUCUGCGAUAAGCGUCGGUAAGGUGAUAUGAACCGUUAUAACCGGCGAUUUCCGAAUGGGGAAACCCAGUGUGAUUCGUCACACUAUCAUUAACUGAAUCCAUAGGUUAAUGAGGCGAACCGGGGGAACUGAAACAUCUAAGUACCCCGAGGAAAAGAAAUCAACCGAGAUUCCCCCAGUAGCGGCGAGCGAACGGGGAGCAGCCCAGAGCCUGAAUCAGUGUGUGUGUUAGUGGAAGCGUCUGGAAAGGCGCGCGAUACAGGGUGACAGCCCCGUACACAAAAAUGCACAUACUGUGAGCUCGAUGAGUAGGGCGGGACACGUGGUAUCCUGUCUGAAUAUGGGGGGACCAUCCUCCAAGGCUAAAUACUCCUGACUGACCGAUAGUGAACCAGUACCGUGAGGGAAAGGCGAAAAGAACCCCGGCGAGGGGAGUGAAAAAGAACCUGAAACCGUGUACGUACAAGCAGUGGGAGCACAGAGCAAUCUGUGUGACUGCGUACCUUUUGUAUAAUGGGUCAGCGACUUAUAUUCUGUAGCAAGGUUAACCGAAUAGGGGAGCCGAAGGGAAACCGAGUCUUAACUGGGCGUUAAGUUGCAGGGUAUAGACCCGAAACCCGGUGAUCUAGCCAUGGGCAGGUUGAAGGUUGGGUAACACUAACUGGAGGACCGAACCGACUAAUGUUGAAAAAUUAGCGGAUGACUUGUGGCUGGGGGUGAAAGGCCAAUCAAACCGGGAGAUAGCUGGUUCUCCCCGAAAGCUAUUUAGGUAGCGCCUCGUGAAUUCAUCUCCGGGGGUAGAGCACUGUUUCGGCAAGGGGGUCAUCCCGACUUACCAACCCGAUGCAAACUGCGAAUACCGGAGAAUGUUAUCACGGGAGACACACGGCGGGUGCUAACGUCCGUCGUGAAGAGGGAAACAACCCAGACCGCCAGCUAAGGUCCCAAAGUCAUGGUUAAGUGGGAAACGAUGUGGGAAGGCCCAGACAGCCAGGAUGUUGGCUUAGAAGCAGCCAUCAUUUAAAGAAAGCGUAAUAGCUCACUGGUCGAGUCGGCCUGCGCGGAAGAUGUAACGGGGCUAAACCAUGCACCGAAGCUGCGGCAGCGACGCUUAUGCGUUGUUGGGUAGGGGAGCGUUCUGUAAGCCUGUGAAGGUGUACUGUGAGGUAUGCUGGAGGUAUCAGAAGUGCGAAUGCUGACAUAAGUAACGAUAAAGCGGGUGAAAAGCCCGCUCGCCGGAAGACCAAGGGUUCCUGUCCAACGUUAAUCGGGGCAGGGUGAGUCGACCCCUAAGGCGAGGCCGAAAGGCGUAGUCGAUGGGAAACAGGUUAAUAUUCCUGUACUUGGUGUUACUGCGAAGGGGGGACGGAGAAGGCUAUGUUGGCCGGGCGACGGUUGUCCCGGUUUAAGCGUGUAGGCUGGUUUUCCAGGCAAAUCCGGAAAAUCAAGGCUGAGGCGUGAUGACGAGGCACUACGGUGCUGAAGCAACAAAUGCCCUGCUUCCAGGAAAAGCCUCUAAGCAUCAGGUAACAUCAAAUCGUACCCCAAACCGACACAGGUGGUCAGGUAGAGAAUACCAAGGCGCUUGAGAGAACUCGGGUGAAGGAACUAGGCAAAAUGGUGCCGUAACUUCGGGAGAAGGCACGCUGAUAUGUAGGUGAAGUCCCUCGCGGAUGGAGCUGAAAUCAGUCGAAGAUACCAGCUGGCUGCAACUGUUUAUUAAAAACACAGCACUGUGCAAACACGAAAGUGGACGUAUACGGUGUGACGCCUGCCCGGUGCCGGAAGGUUAAUUGAUGGGGUUAGCGCAAGCGAAGCUCUUGAUCGAAGCCCCGGUAAACGGCGGCCGUAACUAUAACGGUCCUAAGGUAGCGAAAUUCCUUGUCGGGUAAGUUCCGACCUGCACGAAUGGCGUAAUGAUGGCCAGGCUGUCUCCACCCGAGACUCAGUGAAAUUGAACUCGCUGUGAAGAUGCAGUGUACCCGCGGCAAGACGGAAAGACCCCGUGAACCUUUACUAUAGCUUGACACUGAACAUUGAGCCUUGAUGUGUAGGAUAGGUGGGAGGCUUUGAAGUGUGGACGCCAGUCUGCAUGGAGCCGACCUUGAAAUACCACCCUUUAAUGUUUGAUGUUCUAACGUUGACCCGUGAUCCGGGUUGCGGACAGUGUCUGGUGGGUAGUUUGACUGGGGCGGUCUCCUCCUAAAGAGUAACGGAGGAGCACGAAGGUUGGCUAAUCCUGGUCGGACAUCAGGAGGUUAGUGCAAUGGCAUAAGCCAGCUUGACUGCGAGCGUGACGGCGCGAGCAGGUGCGAAAGCAGGUCAUAGUGAUCCGGUGGUUCUGAAUGGAAGGGCCAUCGCUCAACGGAUAAAAGGUACUCCGGGGAUAACAGGCUGAUACCGCCCAAGAGUUCAUAUCGACGGCGGUGUUUGGCACCUCGAUGUCGGCUCAUCACAUCCUGGGGCUGAAGUAGGUCCCAAGGGUAUGGCUGUUCGCCAUUUAAAGUGGUACGCGAGCUGGGUUUAGAACGUCGUGAGACAGUUCGGUCCCUAUCUGCCGUGGGCGCUGGAGAACUGAGGGGGGCUGCUCCUAGUACGAGAGGACCGGAGUGGACGCAUCACUGGUGUUCGGGUUGUCAUGCCAAUGGCACUGCCCGGUAGCUAAAUGCGGAAGAGAUAAGUGCUGAAAGCAUCUAAGCACGAAACUUGCCCCGAGAUGAGUUCUCCCUGACUCCUUGAGAGUCCUGAAGGAACGUUGAAGACGACGACGUUGAUAGGCCGGAUGUGUAAGCGCAGCGAUGCGUUGAGCUAACCGGUACUAAUGAACCGUGAGGCUUAACCUUACAACGCCGAAGGUGUUU
rnacentral:rRNA from 1 species